rnacentral:rRNA from 1 species
UACGAAGGGGGCUAGCGUUGCUCGGAAUCACUGGGCGUAAAGGGUGCGUAGGCGGGUCCUUAAGUCAGAGGUGAAAUCCUGGAGCUCAACUCCAGAACUGCCUUUGAUACUGAGGAUCUUGAGUACGGGAGAGGUGAGUGGAACUGCGAGUGUAGAGGUGAAAUUCGUAGAUAUUCGCAAGAACACCAGUGGCGAAGGCGGCUCACUGGCCCGUAACUGACGCUGAGGCACGAAAGCGUGGGGAGCAAACAGG